rnacentral:lncRNA from 1 species
AUGCACUCACAGAAGGGCGGGGUGUGUCACAUGGGCUUCACAUGUGUGCUCACAGGAGAAGGGCGGGGUGUGUCACAUGGGCUUCACAUGUGUGCUCACAGGAGAAGGGCGGGGUGUGUCACAUGGGCGCCACAUGUGUGCUCACAGGAGAAGGGCGGGGUGUGUCACAUGGGCUCCACACACAUGCACUCACGGAAGGGCGGGGUGUGUCACAUGGGCUCCACAUGUGUGCACUCAAAGGAGAAGGGCGGGGUGUGUCACAUGGGCUCCACAUGUGUGCUCACAGGAGAAGGGCGGGUGUGUCACAUGGGCUCCACAUGUGUGCCUCACAGGAGAAGGGUGGGGUGUGUCACAUGCACUCCACAUGUGUGCUCACAGGAGAAGGGGUGGGGUGUGUCACAUGGGCUUCACAUGUGUGCACUCCCAGGAGAAGGGCGGGGUGUUCACAUGCACUCCACAUGUGUGCACUCACAGGUGAAGGGCGGGGUGUGUCACAUGCACUCCACACAUGUGCGCUCACAGAAGGGCAGGGUGUGUCACAUGUGCUUCACAUGUGUGCUUACAUGGGAUGGGCAGGGUGUGUCACAUGUGCUCCACACGCGUGUGCUCACACCGGAUGUCCACUCACCUACUGUCCUCGAUGCCCGGCUUCCCCGAGGCCCGGUCCUUAUCGUGCUGGCCUCAGGUCAGACUGCACCACAGAGGGUCUCCCAGCCCCCUCCAAAGCAGUGUCUUUCCCCUUACCCAUUGCCAGACAGACAAGCUGUCUUUCUAACAAGAAUGCGGUUCUCUAACGCGAGCGCCACCUUUGCAUGGCUGGCCGCUGCAUCCCAGGGCACUGGGAAGAGGCACACGGAGGCAGGAGCGAGACAGGAUCGUAACGGGAGCCGGGCAGGUGCCCACACGCUGCCACCCCGAGCUGGGAGGGUGUGCCUGGGUUCUGUGCAGUCUCCAGGCCACUUCGCAUGGGGGGGCCUUGAGCACCCCAGGGCUCUGGGAUCUGUGGGGGCCCCGGGUGGCCCCCAGGUCAGGAGAAGCACACGUGCGGGAGACCCCCGCCCUGGACUACGGUAA